AGCAACGACAACAGACCUCCAGAGAGCGAAAAUAUUCAUAUACUUGUGUUCUAACGCUUGAUGUUGUCGGGUUUAUCGGCGGCAACACGUGUUUUCAGCUACAUUUUAAUCAAACCUUGAGUGAUGUGAUGUUUUGUAAUCUCUAUCUAUAAUUUAUGUUUGAGUCAUACAAUGGAAAUCCACCACACACAGCCGCUUACGUAGGCAAGCAGCCGGAGAGCUUGUUCACAUUCGCCCAGGAGCUUUGGCUUCUGCACACAAAGGUAUCAACACUGAAGCCAUUGAAACAUCUAAAUGUGUGUGUGUGUGUGUGUGUGUGUGUGUGUGUGUGUGUGUGUGUGUGUGUGUGUGAGUGACACCAGAGAAGUGGCAUCAAACUGAGAGACUUUCAAGACUUUUUUCAUGCCUGCUCCGCUGAAGCACCUUGUCUGUCAGCGAGGCAGGACGGCGCGUUUGAGCAAACGGCCGGCCUCUUUGAUUUUCAGCUCCGUGUUGUUUUUGAAUCUCCUGGCUCGACGUUGCAUCACUUCCCCUCUGAGGCAGACUCAGACAAAAAGUGUCACUCACCUGUCGUUACCUCUGACAAAGGUGGAGUACUGCCUUGCUGCUGCAGAAAAGGACGCAAUGAGAGGGGUGAGAAUGAACAGACUGGAAAAACAAAACAUUGGCCUGAAAUCUCAGUCGAGCUGGGGGGAACUUCAGAGGCAGAGUGAGCAGGUCCUCUUCCAUGGAGUGCGCCGUGUUGAGCCGCCAUGUUUCCACAGAAGCCCUAACACCAAACACUGGCUCCAGACAGGGCCUUGGGCUUUUUUCGCAAGUUUCACGAUCACCGUGGUUCCUCCUACAUGCUUGGAAAGGGAGGGGUAUUCAGUCACUGCUAGAAUCCACUAAAUUCUACACACUGGUCCUUGAAUAUAAAAAUCAGAAACCACUAUAAAAUGUACGAAAAAGAUGAACUUUCAGUCUCAACUGUAUAAUAUAAUUAUAAUAUGUGGUAAGUGUAUGUGUAUAGAUAUUUUCAAGAUGAACACAAUUCACUCUCACAUCAACAGGGACGCUGAAUUUAACUCACUUGUGUAAUUAUAUACACAUACUAGUAUACAAUUUUGACUCUUACUUCUUAUUUGGUGUUGAACAUACCCUGUUAGUGUAUACGUGAUUUGAAAUGCACUUGUAAAUGACAAUUAUGAUGUGAACAUGCACUGUGUGUGAACAUCUGGUUUGGGCUUGAGCACCUGAUUUACUUCAUGUAGGACGAUCAGGGUGGGUUUCUUAAGUGACAUUCGAACAUGUUCUUCAUGCACUAUAAGGUACUUUGCAUAAAGAUAUACAACAACUCAAA